rnacentral:rRNA from 1 species
UACGUAGGGUGCAAGCGUUAAUCGGAAUUACUGGGCGUAAAGCGUGCGCAGGCGGUUGUGCAAGACCGAUGUGAAAUCCCCGGGCUCAACCUGGGAAUGGCAUUGGUGACUGCACGGCUAGAGUGUGUCAGAGGGGGGUAGAAUUUCACGUGUAGCAGUGAAAUGCGUAGAGAUGUGGAGGAAUACCGAUGGCGAAGGCAGCCCCCUGGGAUAACACUGACGCUCAUGCACGAAAGCGUGGGGAGCAAACAGG